AGAGUUUGAUCCUGGCUCAGGACGAACGCUGGCGGCGUGCUUAACACAUGCAAGUCGAACGAGUGCCUUCGGGUGCUAGUGGCGAACGGGUGAGUAACACGUGGGCAACCUGCCCCUGGCUCUGGGAUAGCCUCCGGAAACGGGGAUUAAUACCGGACAUGACCUGCUGCCGCAUGGCGGCGGGUGGAAAGUUUUUCGGCCAGGGAGGGGCUCGCGGCCUAUCAGCUUGUUGGGGGGGUAACGGCCCACCAAGGCGACGACGGGUAGCCGGCCUGAGAGGGCGACCGGCCACACUGGGACUGAGACACGGCCCAGACUCCUACGGGAGGCAGCAGUGGGGAAUAUUGCACAAUGGGGGAAACCCUGAUGCAGCGACGCCGCGUGCGGGAUGAAGGCCUUCGGGUUGUAAACCGCUUUCAGCAGGGACGAAGCGCGAGUGACGGUACCUGCAGAAGAAGCGCCGGCUAACUACGUGCCAGCAGCCGCGGUAAUACGUAGGGCGCGAGCGUUGUCCGGAAUUAUUGGGCGUAAAGAGCUCGUAGGCGGCCUGUUGCGUCUGCUGUGAAAUCCCGGGGCUUAACCCCGGGCGUGCAGUGGAUACGGGCAGGCUGGAGGCAGGCAGGGGAGAACGGAAUUCCCGGUGUAGCGGUGAAAUGCGCAGAUAUCGGGAGGAACACCGGUGGCGAAGGCGGUUCUCUGGGCCUGUACUGACGCUGAGGAGCGAAAGCGUGGGGAGCGAACAGGAUUAGAUACCCUGGUAGUCCACGCCGUAAACGUUGGGCGCUAGGUGUGGGUCCCUUCCACGGGGUCUGUGCCGCAGCUAACGCAUUAAGCGCCCCGCCUGGGGAGUACGGCCGCAAGGCUAAAACUCAAAGGAAUUGACGG
rnacentral:rRNA from 1 species